rnacentral:rRNA from 1 species
CUACGGGCGGCUCCAGUGAGGAAUAUUGCACAAUGGGGGGAACCCUGAUGCAGCAACGCCGCGUGGAGGAUGACGCAUUUCGGUGUGUAAACUCCUUUUAUAUGUCAAGGAAAUGACGGUAGCAUAUGAAUAAGCACCGGCUAACUCCGUGCCAGCAGCCGCGGUAAUACGGAGGGUGCAAGCGUUACUCGGAAUCACUGGGCGUAAAGGACGCGUAGGCGGGUUGGAAAGUCAGGUGUGAAAUCCUACAGCUUAACUGUAGAACUGCACUUGAAACUUCUAAUCUAGAGUAUGGGAGGGGGAGAUGGAAUUAGUGGUGUAGGGGUAAAAUCCGUAGAUAUCACUAGGAAUACCUAAAGCGAAGGCGACCUCCUGGAACAUUACUGACGCUAAGGCGUGAAAGCGUGGGGAGCAAACAGGAUUAGAUACCCGGGUAGUC